rnacentral:lncRNA from 1 species
UCUCACUGUUCUGCCCUUCAGAGGUUGGGUUGGGCGGUUGUUGUGCUGCAUGGGGACAGCGUUAUCACCUUCAACAUUUGAUAGAAGGCUGCGGAAUUGUGCCAGCUAGAAGGAUAAAAUAUUUUAAAAAUAAAAAGUUUUUAAAGUUACAUAAAGCGUUUUAUUUACAGGAUUACUAACGCACUGAUAUUUAGAAAACUGAGUUAGAAAUUGCAGUAAUAUCACUAAUAGGAAGAGAGAAAGCCCCAAAUCCUUUACAUUCAUUUCUUUGAACCAGGCAUUUUGCUUUAAUUAUUGAUUUAAUUAUUUAAUUAAAUCAAUUAAAUAAAGCAAAUUUAAUUAUUUGCUUUAUUUUAUUGAUUUAAUUAUUGAUGACUGGGUUAAAGUAUCAACUUUUUAAUUUCAGCUGGGGUACGUUGGGCGAGCGACUUAUUAGCUUGGUACCUUAGUUUCCAUAAGUACUUACUUCACUGUGUUGUUGUGAAGAUUAAAUGGGUUAAUACAUGCAAAGCCCUUAGAAUGAUACUUGACACAUAGCAUGUGCUCAAUAAAUGUCAGUUAGCAACAGGCUACAAUGCUUGUCCUGUAGGUUUGUUAUGAGAAUUGGCUAAUAAAACAUAUGUAAGGCACGUAAUAAACAUGGUAGAGCAAUGAAUGAUACUUACUAUAAUCACCAUUAUUAACAACAGUUAAUGAGAUAUUUUGUUGAAUAUUUAAAAGUUUAAGCUCCACAAAAGGAACAAAAAUAUUUUGCCAACUAUCAAGACCCUCUGCUGAGAGUUUGGUGUACAUGUCUCCAUUUUUCUUUGGAUAUACAGAUAAUAAUGUCCUGAAAUAAGUCACAAACUUCCAUGUGAGAGCAGGUUAAGAGCCAGGGAAGGUUAGACCCUCAUCUAGGUGUAUGCUGUUCUGUGACCAUUGCUGUGGUUAAAUUCGAGCUCUUAGUAGAGUCUCAUUGAAUUGUCCUGGCUUGGCCACAACGAUACUGCUGGUGUAUCCAAACUUGAACGUUUAAAUAAAGAGGAAAUGAUGGUGUGUUCCAUUUGGGGUUACAGCUUUAAAGGAGGAGCAGUGUCAUCCUUUGAAGCUAGCUUUGAUAUCAAGAUAUUGCAUUUUUUACAAACUGAAGAUUUGUAGCAACCUUGCAUCAAGCAAGCUUAUUAGGGGCAUAUUUUCAACAGCAUGUGUUUAUUUCACGUCUCUGUGUCACAUUUUGGUAAUUCUCACAAUAUUUUAAACUUUUUAAUUGUUCAUAUAUCUAUCAUGGAGAUCUUUGAUGUUACUAUUAUAAUAGUGUUGUGGCACCAUAAACCAUGUCCAAGUAAGAUGAUGAACUUAAUCUGUAAAUGUUGUGUGUGUUUUAACUACUUUACUGACUGGCUAUUCCCCAUCUAUCUCCCUCUCUGACCUUUGUGCUUGCUGUCCUGCUGUCCAGAUUGCUCUGUACCCAGACCUUUGUAUAGCCUCAAAUAUCUCCUGCUUAGAAAUGACUUUCCUGAACUCCAAAUUCACAUGUCCUCCUUUUCCCAGUCACUCCAUUAUAUCAUUCUGUCUUAUUUCUUUCAUAGCAUUUGUCACAUCUUGCUUGUAUUGUGAAAUUAAUUUACUUGCUUAAUGUCUAUAACCAUCUCUAAAAUGGCAUCUCUAUGAUAUGAUAAAACCUUGAUCAUUUUUUUCACCACCAUGUUCUCUUCAUCUAUAAUAUGCCUGGAAAACAGUGGUGCUCAAUAGACACUUAUAGAGAGAAUAAUUAAAUGGUCAUUUUAAAUUUAAACUAUUGUAUAUUUUUAAAGAUGUAGAAGAGCAGAAUGUUAUCAGGGACUAUGCUUACCCAAGUGCACUGAUCUGAACUCAGGUUGUGUGGUACAUUGAUAUUUGGGCAUGUGAAUGAGCUUUGCUAUACUCAUGUUUGUUUUUGGAUUAAGGAAAAAGCCUUUCCCCUCUCAGUUCUAUUAAUGGGAGGAAUGAAGUGACCCGUCUGUGUCUGUCAGUCAUUACUGGGAGAAUGAGAACACUGAUCUUUAAUAGGGAGGAGAAAAAAGCAAAAUUAUUUAUUAGGGUCUUCACAGCAAAAUUUUAGAAAAGAAUCCUGUCCUCUUACCUGAAGGCAAAAUAGCAAGGUCCUCCUUCCCAGAAACCAAAUCAGAUUUUCUACUUGAAGCAGUACCAAGCCUCUGGAUAGAGCUUCGAGGGAAGGAUUUUGGGGUCAUGGGUUUUUUCCAGGGAGGCUCGAAAAAAGCUUCCCUUGCAGUUUGAGUUUGAAGGCUGUAGCUCAGUGGCAGAUCAGGACACCUAGGAACAUUUCCAAGGAAGUAGCCAUUUCUCUCCCAGCCUUGAACCCUGAUCUCUGGGUUCUUCCCUCUGAGAAUCUCCCCCACCUCAGUUAAACUGCGCAUCAUAACUGCAUGGCUAUUUGAGAUAUUAUUUUUAAAUAACAUGUUUACUUUGUGAAAGCUCUUAGUUAGGGAAACCAGAGGUCAGCAUUGCAGUUUGUUUACAGAUCUGUGAAAUGGCUUUGCCCUGCUACCCCCUUAUUUAUAUCAGAUUUCAUCUUUCAUGCUACCCUCUCUUUUCCAAAUUCAGUUUCCUAAUGCUCUUGGUUACCCCACUUUGGAGAUUACCCCGGCUUGCCUAGGAUGCAUCUCUCCAACUUUCAAUGCCUAACCUUGGCUAGUUAACCAUCUUGAAACACAUUCAUAUCAAAGCAUUAAUGACAGAAAAUAGCUUAAUGUGGUAACUUCUAGUCACAUCUUUGCUUUACAUAGUGAUUUGAAACUCCAAAGAUCUUAAGUAAAGACAUGCAUUUUGAACAAUGAAAUGCCGUGGACUGUUAUGUAUGAUCCACCACAGUCCAAAAUUAUUAAAUGGAAACUUCUAGAAAUAAACAAUACGUUUUCAAUUGCAUGCCAUUCUGAGUAGUGUGAUGACAUCUCACAGCAUCCCACUCCAUCCUGAUGGGGCCGUGAAUCUUCCCUUUGUCCAUCAUAUCGCCUCUGUACAUGCUGCCCUCCCCUUAGUCACUUAGUAGUCUUCUCAGUUAUCAGAUUUUCUGUUGCCAUGUUGCAGUGCUUGUGUUCAAGUAACCCUUAUUUUACUUCAUAAUGGCCCCAAAGCCCAAGACUUGUGAUGCUGGUAAUUUGGAUAUGCCAAAGAGAAGCCAUCAGUCCUUCCUUUAAGUGAAAAUUUGAAAGCUCUUGGCUUAAUAAGGAGAGGAAAAAAGUCAUAUACUGAGGUUGCUAAGAUCUACGAUAAUUGUAAAACAUUAGGACAAGGGCAAUGAGAGAAACCUAAUUAGACAGGAAGGACACACUAAAGAAAGACACAUGAAACAGC